rnacentral:rRNA from 1 species
UUGACCUCGAAUCAGGUAGGAAUACGCGCUGAACUUAAGCAUAUCAAUAAGCGCAGGAAAAGAAACCAACAGGGAUUGCCUCAGUAACGGCGAGUGAAGCGGCAACAGCUCAAAUUUGAAAUCUGGCCUCUUGGGGCCCGAGUUGUAAUUUGUAGAGGAUGUUUUGGGUACCGCCCCGGUUUAAAUUUCUUGGAACAGAAUGUCAAAGAGGGUGAGAAUCCCGUCUUGGACCGGCGGUAGGGCCUGUGUAAAACUCCUUCGACGAGUCGAGUUGUUUGGGAAUGCAGCUCAAAAUGGGUGGUAAAUUUCAUCUAAAGCUAAAUAUUGGCCAGAGACCGAUAGCGCACAAGUAGAGUGAUCGAAAGAUGAAAAGCACUUUGAAAAGAGAGUUAAACAGUAUGUGAAAUUGUUGAAAGGGAAGCGCUUGCAACCAGACUUGCGCGCGGCGGUUCCCCUUGCCUUUUGGCCAGGGUACUCCGCCGCGUCCAGGCCAACAUCGGUUUUGGGGGCCAGUUAAAGGCCCUGGGAAUGUACCUACCCACGGGUAGACUUAUAGACCAGGGUGCCAUGUGGCCUCCCGGGACCGAGGAACGCGCUUCGGCUCGGAUGUUGGCGUAAUGGUUGUCAGCGACCCGUCUUGAAACACGGACCAAGGAGUCUAACAUCUAUGCGAGUGUUUGGGUGUCAAACCCGGAACGCGGAAUGAAAGUGAACGGAGGUAGGAAGCUUCGGCUGCACUAUCGACCGAUCCUGAAGUUUACGGAUGGAUUUGAGUAAGAGCAUAGCUGUUGGGACCCGAAAGAUGGUGAACUAUGCCUGAAUAGGGUGAAGCCAGAGGAAACUCUGGUGGAGGCUCGCAGCGGUUCUGACGUGCAAAUCGAUCGUCAAAUUUGGGUAUAGGGGCGAAAGACUAAUCGAAC